AGCCUCUGUGUUUAGGGAGGAGCAGUGAAAGUGAAAGUAUUGAGCCUCUGUUCAUAGCAGCAGGUGAAGGAAGGUGGAGCUGAGGCAGACUAACUCCACCCUGACAUCAAGAAGAUGGAGGAAGAGGAUGGAGCAGGAUCUGCAGCAUCCAGCUGUGUGUCUGUGAGGAGUGACCGGUCCAAAGGACAACCUCCAGUGUUCAGUAAUGAACCUGCAGCAACAAUAGCUUCUGCACAGUGUGGAGAAAGAUCCAGAAGCAGAGCUGGACUGCAGACAGCCAGUCAGAGCAGCUGUGUACAAACAGAUGUUGGUCUGCAGGAGGUUUUAGAUGAACAUAAGAUCAGUCUGAGGAGGAGA